GGCGGCUGGACAACGUGAGGGGCAGCUGUGGCGAAGGAUGCCUCCUGAAGUCCACGAUCAUCUCUACAGUCUUGAGCGUGUUCAGCUCCAGGUUGUGUCGGCCGCACCGCAGCUCCGGCCGCUCCGCUUCCUGCCGAUGACAGCGGUGUCAUCUGCAAACUUCAGGAGUUUGACAGUCGGGUUCGCUGAGGUGCAGUCGUUCGUGUAGAGAGAGAAGAGCAGCGGAGAGAGGACACAACCUUGGGGCGCCCCAGUGCUGAUGCUGCGUGUGGAUGAGGUGGCGCGGUCACGUCUUCCCUGACAGACAGGCGCGUUCCCGA